rnacentral:rRNA from 1 species
CGCCCUUAGAGUUUGAUCAUGGCUCAGAUUGAACGCUGGCGGCAGGCCUAACACAUGCAAGUCAGACGGUAAGAGAGCUUGCUCUCGACGAGUGGCGGACGGGUGAGUAAUGUCUGGGAAACUGCCCGAUGGAGGGGGAUAACUACUGGAAACGGUAGCUAAUACCGCAUAACGUCGCAAGACCAAAGUGGUUCGUCACACCAUCGGAUGUGCCCAGAUGGGAUUAGCUAGUAGGUGGGGUAACGGCUCACCUAGGCGACGAUCCCUAGCUGGUCUGAGAGGAUGACCAGCCACACUGGAACUGAGACACGGUCCAGACUCCUACGGGAGGCAGCAGUGGGGAAUAUUGCACAAUGGGCGCAAGCCUGAUGCAGCCAUGCCGCGUGUAUGAAGAAGGCCUUCGGGUUGUAAAGUACUUUCAGCGGGGAGGAAGGGGGGCGAAUAAUUUCGUUCAUUGACGUUACCCGCAGAAGAAGCACCGGCUAACUCCGU